AGAGGGGUACAGACAGCAUACGCACGCUAUGCAAACACAAUGUAUUGUGUCUGUACAGCGUUGUGAGGAAAGUCCGGACACCGCAGGGCGGGAUGCCGGGUAACACCCGGGCGCCGCAAGGCGAUGGAAAGUGCAGCAGAAAACAUACCGCCCCGUCAGGGGUAAGGGUGAAAAGGCGAGGUAAGAGCUCACCGCAUCUGCAGUAAUGCAGGUGGCAGUGCAAACCCCAUCCGGUGCAAGGCCAAAUAGGCAACCGCUACUAAAGUGGCCCGCUUGAGGUUGCGGGUAGGCCGCGUGGACAUGCAUGGCAACAUGCAUGCAAGAUUGAUGGCUGUCAAAACAGAAUCCGGCUUAUGGACCCCUCUUUAU
rnacentral:RNase_P_RNA from 1 species